AUGGACCGGCGGCUGUUGGCAGCGGGAUGCGGACGGGCACGGAGCCCGUUCAGCACCACGGCGGUGGACAGCUCCGCAACGGGCACGUGGCACCGCGCCGCGAACCGAACGGACCGGUACCGGAUCCCGGGUUCCGGGUCGACCCUGCGGGCACCUUGUCCGCCACCGACCUUCCGGUUUCGGUCCCUCGGAGCGGUGCCAGCCCCGACCCGGCGGAGCGAGGCCGGUCCCAGAGCCGCCGUCCCCCGGGGAGCAGAGCGGCGCCGCGCCCGAACCGGUACCGAGCUCCGGUUCCCGGUGCCCUCAUUGCGUUUUUCCAUCGUUCUCCUCCUUCCCCGCUCUCUACAAAACGCCGUUUGUUUCCUCCACGUUGAUCCGGGCAGCAUCACGAACAACCUCAGCUCUGCGCUUCCACAGCAGCUCCCGACCGAAGGGCUCCAUCCAUCCAUCCAUCCAACCGGCCGCAGCUCCGACCCGGUGCCGUUCAGCCCCUCCGCAUCCCCCCCAUCCCCGCCGCUCCCUCUGGCAGAGCUGCGGGCUGCCCCGCUCCUCACCCGGCUCCUCCAGCUCGGUAAAACCGGGGCCGGUUCUGCAGCCUUUUUUUUCUCUCUUUCUUUUUCCUUUUUCUCUCUUUAUUUUUUUUUUUUUUUUUUUCCUCUUUGUGUUCGUUUCUUAUUUUUUUUUUUUUCCAUUUCAUGAAUUUUUUGUUCUCUUUUUUUUUUCCCCUGUUUUUGUUUCUAAGAGAUCUUAAGCAGGUAAAAAAAACGUCAUGACACCACUCAACGCCCUAAGAGAGAAAACUCCGGGCACCGAGGGGUUGAAAGAGGGGAAGGAAAGGAGGGGGGGGCGGGAUCGGGGCCGGGCCGGACCCCCCCAAAGCAAAGUGCAUCUGUGAGCGUCCGCCGGGCCGGGCCUGCUUGCAUAGAUAGAAAUAUUGGAAUCUCCGUUUCGCCUCUUUAUUGCUUCGGAAAGUUUCGUUCCGCGCCGUAACGCGUUUCUCCUCUCGCUCCCACGGGGGUGUCCAACGCUCGGGGGGGCUCACGGCGGCGGAGGUGGGUUGGGAGGGGGGGGGGGAAACGGCCCAAAACGGUGAGGGGUGGAGAAAUAGGGAGGAGGGGAUGCGGUGAUGGUUGGAGGGGGGUGAAAUAAGAAACGAAAUAAAUAAGAAACGACGCGGUUUGAACCA
rnacentral:lncRNA from 1 species